GCAUGUGAGGGUGACCCAUGACACCCGUUACCCCUUGAUCGCCAGCAUUAAUUCUGCUGGUCUGACCGGCUAAGCGAGCGUCCCUUUCUUCCCUUCCCACUCCCCCUGAAGCUGCAGGCUCAGUCUAAGAGGACGACCUCCCCCACAGAGAAAGACCUGUCUUCCAUCAGGGGUCCCGGAACAGCUGUCCCUCCCCACCCUGCUAGAACCUCCAAAAACUCAGGAAAUGAUUGACAGGGCUGAAAUGCAGUUACUUCAUUUCAAAUGUAACGCUUCCUUUUACCAUUU
rnacentral:snRNA from 1 species